rnacentral:rRNA from 1 species
GUCGAGCGGGCGAGGUUGCUUCGGUAACUGAGCUAGCGGCGGACGGGUGAGUAAAGCUUAGGAAUCUGCCUAUUAGUGGGGGACAACAUUUCGAAAGGGAUGCUAAUACCGCAUACGUCCUACGGGAGAAAGCAGGGGACCUUCGGGCCUUGCGCUAAUAGAUGAGCCUAAGUCGGAUUAGCUAGUUGGUGGGGUAAAGGCCUACCAAGGCGACGAUCUGUAGCGGGUCUGAGAGGAUGAUCCGCCACACUGGGACUGAGACACGGCCCAGACUCCUACGGGAGGCAGCAGUGGGGAAUAUUGGACAAUGGGGGGAACCCUGAUCCAGCCAUGCCGCGUGUGUGAAGAAGGCCUUUUGGUUGUAAAGCACUUUAAGUGGGGAGGAGGCUCUCUUGGUUAAUACCCAAGAAGAGUGGACGUUACCCACAGAAUAAGCACCGGCUAACUCUGUGCCAGCAGCCGCGGUAAUACAGAGGGUGCGAGCGUUAAUCGGAUUUACUGGGCGUAAAGCGCGCGUAGGUGGUUAAUUAAGUCAAAUGUGAAAUCCCCGAGCUUAACUUGGGAAUUGCAUUCGAUACUGGUUAGCUAGAGUAUGGGAGAGGAUGGUAGAAUUCCAGGUGUAGCGGUGAAAUGCGUAGAGAUCUGGAGGAAUACCGAUGGCGAAGGCAGCCAUCUGGCCUAAUACUGACACUGAGGUGCGAAAGCAUGGGGAGCAAACAGGAUUAGAUACCCUGGUAGUCCAUGCCGUA